CAUCAGAUCUGGUGUUGUGGACCAAGGCAUUGUGUUUACAAAAAGCGGAUUCUAAUCUUCUGAAUGCCCUGAGGCAGAAGCCCCCUCAGUUGGGGUGAAGCACGCUAUCUGCACUCUAGGAGAGGAGAUAAAGGAUGGUUGAAAGCUUGAAUGCGGGUUGGACACACAGGUGAAGCAGCUUAAAGAGUUUGCCUGCAGCAAGAGGAUUUUGCAGCUUUGCAGUCAGUCUUAGCUCUGCAUAUAUGGCUUGAUCCUGCACCAGGGAAGUCAGUG